UUGGAGGGCAAGUCUGGUGCCAGCAGCCGCGGUAAUUCCAGCUCCAAUAGCGUAUAUUAAAGUUGUUGCAGUUAAAAAGCUCGUAGUUGAAUUUCGGGAUCAAUAUAUCGGUCGUGCCUUUGGUACGUACUGGUAUCAUUGAUUUCUCCCUUCUGACGAAUCAUGAUGUCAUUAAUUUGGUGUUAUGAGGAGUUAGGACUGUUACUUUGAAAAAAUUAGAGUGUUUAAAGCAGGCAUUAGCUUGAAUACAUUAGCAUGGAAUAAUGAAAUAGGACGUUUGAUCCUAUUUUGUUGGUUUUUUGGAUCGACGUAAUGAUUAAUAGGGAUAGUUGGGGGCAUUAGUAUUCAAUUGUCAGAGGUGAAAUUCUUGGAUUUAUUGAAGACUAACUACUGCGAAAGCAUUUGCCAAGGAUGUUUUCAUUAAUCAAGAACGAAAGUUAGGGGAUCGAAGACGAUCAGAUACCGUCGUAGUCUUAACCAUAAACUAUGCCGACUAGGGAUCGGAUGAUGUUAAUUUUAUAAUGACUCAUUCGGCGCCUUACGGGAAAC
rnacentral:rRNA from 1 species